GGCCUCGCUGGCGUAGCGGUAGCACGCGUCCUUGGUGCGGAUUAAAAUGCGGGUUCAGCUCCCGUCUGAGGUCA